rnacentral:rRNA from 1 species
AUUAUGCUACCUUUGCACAGUUAAAAUACUGCGGCCAUUUAAAAUUUUUCAGUGGGCAGGUUAGACUUUAAAUUUAAUUCAAAAAGACAUGUUUUUGUUAAACAGGCGGAUAUUAUUUUUGCCGAAUUCUUUAUUUAAACUUAUCACUUAAAUUUAUUUUACAAUAAAAUAUACUAAUUCUAUCAUUAUUACUUAAUUUUAAAAAUUAAAAUUAAUAUUUCGAUAAAAAUUUAAAAUAUAAUAAAUAAUUUAAUUUAUAAAAUAAAUUAUAACACAAUUUUUAAUAAUUGCUAAUUCUAAGCAUAUAUUUUUUAAAUUUAUUUAUUAUUUAUAAAAAUUUAUUUUAUAGCUUAUCCCAUAAAAUAUUAAAAUUACAAAUUAUUUAAUUAAAAAAAUUUUUUAAAUAAAUUUACAAUUUCUAAAUUAAAUUUAUUUCUCGAAAAACUAGAUACCUUCAAAAACGAAUAACAUUUCAUUUCUAAUAUAAUAUUUAAAAUAAUUUUAUUACAUUAACUUUUAUAUUAUAUUAACUCUUUUAAAAUCGAGAAAAAUAUAUUUAAAUAUUUUUUAUUUAAUAAACGCUGAUACACAAGGUACAAUAAAUUAAAUUUUCUUUUAAAAUAAAAAUUUUUCAAAAUAUUUCAAUUUUCUUUUACAAUACUAUUAAACUAUUAUUAAAAUUAUUUUUUCUUUAAACAAUACUAAAACUUUUUCUAAUAUAAUUGAUUUUAAUACUUUUGAAUAAAAUUUAUAAAAUUAAUAAAUAAAAUCUAA